rnacentral:rRNA from 1 species
AUUGAACGCUGGCGGCAUGCCUUACACAUGCAAGUCGAACGGCAGCAUGGAGAGCUUGCUCUCUGAUGGCGAGUGGCGAACGGGUGAGUAAAGCAUCGGAACGUACCGUGUAGUGGGGGAUAACGUAGCGAAAGUUACGCUAAUACCGCAUACGCACUGAGGUGGAAAGCAGGGGAUCGCAAGACCUUGCGCUAUACGAGCGGCCGAUGUCAGAUUAGCUAGUUGGUAGGGUAAAGGCCUACCAAGGCGACGAUCUGUAGCGGGUCUGAGAGGCUGAUCCGCCCCACUGGGACUGAGACACGGCCCAGACUCCUACGGGAGGCAGCAGUGGGGAAUUUUGGACAAUGGGGGCAACCCUGAUCCAGCCAUGCCGCGUGAGUGAAGAAGGCCUUCGGGUUGUAAAGCUCUUUCGGCCGGGAAGAAAUCGCACAGGCUAAUACUCUGUGUGGAUGACGGUACCGGCAUAAGAAGCACCGGCUAACUACGUGCCAGCAGCCGCCGCGG